GCAGAAAAGAUUUUCCAACUUGGCUGCUUGCUUAGCAAGAUUAUAGACUGUUCUGAUAAAUCAUUCUAUUCACAUUAGGCUGCAUGGUCAUCUUUUCAAGGCAGUUUGUUUGAGGAUCAAGUCAUGAUCAUGAGGAGUUUUUCAUAAGUUAGUAUGUUCCAAUCAAUGAAGUUGAGAGAUGAUAGAUUAAUGUGGAAAAGAAACCAACGAUUAUCAUUCAUAUCUACUUAAGUCACAAUUACUCUUAUAAAUGCAAACUAUAUAAUUAAAACACUGCUUGAGAACAAAAACCAACCUCGCUUUAUUAGGGUGGUGUGCAAAGGAAUAUAAACUGAGGCAACAGAGUCCUUUUUUGGGACUGAUGCUUAAGAUUACAGAAUAUAGCCAGUGCAGUCUGUUUAUGAGAAUCUGAAAUAUUAGGCAAGGCCAUGUCACAUAAUCGUUGAAGGACUGUCACAACCAAAAAUGGCUGCCACUUUUCUGAAAAGUCACACUGGGGAAGUGCUAGACCCAGUCAAUCACUCUACAGAUCUCACACUUAGUGACAAGAACUGCUGAAACUCUGAAAGGAGAAAAUUAACAAUAGACAUAGAAAAACAAUUGGAAUAUUUCAGAAAGUACUAUGUUGCAGAAGUACUACUAUGAAUUUUAGUGGCCCUAUUAAAAACCCUCUUCAAGAGAAGACAUGAUAGAAUGUGCAAAUUUACUUGAUUUUUGUUAAAACCAAGUCUUGGUGAGUUAAAAUAGGGAGUCCUCCUAAACUGUAGGACCUUCCUCUUUCUUGUCCUGCUCUAUUUACAUUGAUUGUCCAAUAAAUAGAGGUUGUACAAGAUAGAAAUCAUGAGAUGUUCUGCAUAGUUAAUACCAGAAGUGGGUUUAUAAUAAUCUGUAUAUCUAUUUGAUUAUUCCAUAUAAAUACUUAGAACCAGGAAGCUUAACUUGAAAAGUGACUUUAUUUAGAAUGGUAGACACGUCAUAGAUAGGUAAUUCCUAUCCUGCCAUUAUUUUAUGAAAUAGAAUUGUAAAGAAAAUAUGUCGUUACAGGAAUUCAUACAAUAUUUUUAAGCAGAGGACAUUUUCACAUCUGCAUUUGGAAAAAUAUUUUUGAAAGACAAUACAGAGAGUUUGAAGAGCAUAAAACCAAUUAAAAGUCUAUUUCAAUGGACUCGGGAAAGGAACAGCCUAAGACUGGACAUCUUAUCUGUUUGAUCUGUGCCUCAGUCCACCACCACCCCUUAUUCUUCCACCACUGUUGGUAAAAAUUGAAGUCAAAGCCAAGUAAAUAAUCAUUGCAGCUAAGGUAUCUGAUAUGUUUUGGCUGUGUCCCCACCCAAAUCUCAUCUUGAAUUGUAGCUCCCAUAAUUCCCACAUGUCAUGAGAGGGACCUAGCGGGAGGUAAUUGAAUCAUAAGGGUGGGUCUUUCCCGUGCUGUUCUCAUGAUAAUGAAUAAGUCUCAUGAGAUCUGAUGGUUUUAUAAAGGGGAGUUCCUCUGCACACGCUCUCUUGCCUGCUGCCAUGUAAGAUGUAACUUUGCUGCUCAUUCAUCUUCAACCAUGAUUGUGAGGCCUCCCCAGCUAUGUAGAACUGUGAAUCAAUUAAACUUCUUUCCUUUAUAAAGUACCCAGACUUGGGUAUGUCUUUAUUAGCAUCAUGAGAACAGACUAAUACAGUAGUCAUCCAAAGUGUCUAAUUAGAGUCAAGACUCAUGAACAAGGGAAGGUGAUGGGCAGAGAAAAGACCAGCCCCAAACCACAUUUUGGAAAGCAAGGCAGGAGUUAGAGGACUGAGGUGCCAGAACUUAGCAAUGAGCACUUAUUUUUAUGUGUUUAUACUUUAAGUUCUGGGAUACAUGUGCAGAACGUGCAGGUUUGUUACAUAGGUAUACAUGUGCCAUGGUGGUUUGCUGCACCCAUCAACCCGUCAUCUAGGUUUUAAGCCCCACAUGCAUUAGGUAUUUGUCCUAAUGCUAUCUCUCCCCUUGCCCUUCUACUCCCCAACGGGCCCCGGUGUGUGAUGUUCCCCUCCCUAUGUCCAUGUGUUCUUGCAAUGAGCACUUUUUAAUGGAGGCAGUAGGGAGAUCCUGCCUUCAGCUGCUGGUAGAAAAGAAGCUCUCAGUGAGAGAUGAGGCCAACUUGAAAAGCAAUAGUACAGGUAAGCACUGGUGUGGGCUGAAAGACCCAUUGCAAAUGUGGUGGGGAAGCAACCACAAAUGUGAGUACUUGAUGAAUUGGAGAACAAAGCACAGUGCCACAAUGAUUCUGCAUGCAGGUGUGGAACGGGGGAAGCUGGACACCUUUCCCAUGCUUCUCUUUGGUUCCAAAGGUUGAAUGAUCCCAGACCACCAGACCAUAAUCACAAGAAAGUUUAAAAAUUUAACGAAUAUCAAAAUAAUCGGUUUCUGUAUUAUUGUCUAGUUAGGAUUGUUUCAUCACCUACUCCAAUUGUGCAGAUAAUUUGGAAUAGACUAACCUUUCUCUCAACUCUUUCCUAUUUUCAUAUUUUAUUAAUUUUCAUGUACUCACAAUGUAUCAAAUAUUUAGGAUUUCAUUAGCAAAUAAAUGUUAUAAUGUUUAUUUUUAAAGUUACUAAAACUAGACUUAGUUGAUACAAGUUCUCACUAUGAUUGGUUUUUUAUGUUUCAUGUUUUAUGUUUAUUGUGAAAAAUGAUGCAGUGAACAAGUGAACAUUGUCAUAUAACUAUCUCUUUGAGUCUUUUUUUCAAUUAUUUUGAGUGUAUGCCUAUGAUGGGAGUUGCUGAAUCGUAUUCUAUUCAGUGUUUAACUUUUUCAGAAACUACCAAACAUUUUCGCAAUGGCUGCACCAUUUUAUAUUCCUAUUCACAAUGUAAAGGAGGUUUCAGUCUCUCUACAUCCUUAACAACACUUGUUAUUUUGCUUUUUCUAAAUUAUACCCAUCCUAGUAGCUGUGAAGUGAUAGCUCAUUGUGAUUUUGAUUUGCAUUUCCCUAAUUACUAAUGCCAAUUUAUUUGUAAAAACCACCUUUAAUACAAUAAUUAAUAUUAUAUGGUUCUAAAUGUUUAUUUCCAAUAUUUUAUUUUCUUAAGUUGCCUUUAAAACUUUAUAUUCUUAGUUCAAUAUUUUAAAAUGUAUUUUAUAAGAGGGAAUAAACUCACUGGCAUUUUAAAUUUGCAAUAUAUUCUAGAGCCAAAAUUCAGCAAUAUCAUGAUGAAAAUAUAGUUUUAUUAGGCUGGUGCAAAAGUAAUUUUUUUAAAGUACAAAUAUGAAUGAAGCAUUUCAAACAAAACUCACAGCAGCAGAGAACACCUUCAAAUCCAGAUACUGUCACGCUCUUUAAUAACAACUUCUCAUCCACCUGAUUUAAAUAGUAUAUAACACUGUUACAGUUUUAUGAGAGACUCUUUCAAAGGUUAUAUAAAGGACUUUUUCCUUCUAUUGUUCCUUCCUUGACUAAAAGUACAUGCCUGAUUAUUAAAAAAUGUAACUUUAUUUUAAAAUACCUUAAGAAUGUCAUCUAGUCCAUAAAACUUUGUAAGACACACACAAAAAAAUUGCCUGUCUUUAAGCUUAAUCCCCUUUCCAAUUGACGCCUGUGUUCAUAUUCUUAUUUUAUUUUUCUCAAAGUGUAAAACUUGGAAUUUAUUUUUUAGGCACCUUUGUACAUGACAACCCAGAACUAAUUAUCAUACUUUAAACAUAAGCAAAGUGAUUCUACAAGUAUGUAUGAUAUGUAGAUAACUUCAUAAUUAACCUAUAAUUUAGACAUCCAGUAAUUUAAAUGCAUUAAGCUAUGUACUCUGUGUAGAGACAUGCAGAUUACCUGUUCCUGAUAUUAACAUAUAGCUCCCUCCAAAGAACUUUUUGUUUUCAUAAUUUAUUCUCCAUUAAAGUAUAUAUUAAUUUAAUAGUUCCUAAUUUCCUAAUUUGUACUAGUAUGGAGAAAGAAAUGAGUAAUGGUUGAACAUACUAUGAUUAAAUUAUAUUGAGUAGUCCAGUAACUAUGAAAUACACACAUCUCAUUUCUUAAUGGCAUUCCAUUAAAAGUUCUAAAGCAAGGAGUAAUAGAAGCUUUUCUGUUUUCUCUUUUUAAAAAUGAAAGUCACUUAGGAAAAGGAUUGCCAAUUUAUCUUUAAGUUUUUCCUCUUUAUCUGUUUCCAACAGCCACACUCACCAACAAACCUCUCCCACUCGAAAGCAUUGAAAUAGACAUGCUGCAAAUGCGAAGGAUGUAUGUCUGUGAUGUGAACACAGGAGUGGGUUGCUUCACUUCCAGCUCCUUCUGGAGGAUUAAACAGAUACUAAUCCUGAAAAAUACACAGAGAAAAGCUUCUUUCCCAAAACAUAUGCUCACACACAAAUCAUUGUAGUAGUGAGCAGGGGAGGAUCCUUUAUCAGCCCUAACUUUAAAAAGGGGAGUGUGGCUUUUACUUACUAUCAUCCUACUUUAAAACAUAAACAAUUAUUGGUAGGUUGAAAAUACUUAUGGUCCAGAAGCCCCUAAUGAAUGCCCUUCACCAACAAUUCUUUAAGUAAUACCGUGUACUAAUGGACUGAAUAUUCACCAAGAAGACAGAAAAUAGAAAUAUCUGGCCUAAAAAUAAAAAGCUGGCAAGUGUUUUACACUUGUCUGAACUAGUCUUACAUCUACUAAUGAGGGUAAAAUACAUCUUGACCACUUGGCUAGGAUGUGUCAUCUUAACAACAAUUAUAUGUAUAUACUUAGAAUGUUUGCCUUUGCUCCUAGAGGAAAUUGCUAAAUCGUGUCUGAUUCUAAGGGACUUAACUUACAAAGUGGGAUAAGGAAACAUAAUACUAUAUUGCAGCAACAUCCCAAGGUUUCUGUAAGGUCAUAGUGAGCGAAGUACUGACCAGGUGCACUUCAGCUUGCCCGAGAGAACUGUAACACCCAAUUCACCCUAAUGCUUAAAAAAGGAUGUGCCACUGAGGAAGCUCCAUCUUCGUUUUUCUUUCAGACAUGAUUGCAAACUCCAGGACAAGCCCUAAGGAGCAAAGUCAGGAGACUCUCAGGGAGAAACAAAUACAUCAACGGAGACAACUUUGGAAACAAUGGAAACAAAGAACCAAAAAUGGGCCUGCACAUAAAUAAAAACUCCAUAUAUGACCAAGGCAGUGUCAUGAAUUAAGUCCGAUGGAAAAAUAAAAUAAAACACUAUCCUAAAUGCAUUAAAUAAACAAGUACAUAAAACAAGCCAAGUAAUUCAAAACUCAGACAAAAAUAUAGAGUAAUAUUUUUAUGAUAUUAAGACAGGGAGAAAUUUCUUAAAGAAAAUGUAGGAAACUCAAAUCACAAAGAAUACACUACAAAAUUAACGUAUUCCACAUGACAAAGUAGUUAUAAACAAGGCUAAGAAACAAGCAAUAGACUAGAGAAGAUGUUUGAAACAUGUUAACAUGCAAUAAGUUAUUUUUUCAGAGUUUAUUAAAAACUCCUAUACAUAAAAAAUUGAAAAAUUAGUAAAGCAUUUGAACAGCAAUUCACUGAAAAUGAAAUUCAAAUGGGCAGCAAAUAAAUUUUCCAUCUCAUUGGCCAUUAGAUUGGGUGCACAUAACUGAGUUUUGGAAAAUGGGAUAUGGGCAGAAAUGAUGAAUGCCACUUAUGGUUCUGGGAAAAGAAGGAAAUAAAAUGGAGGAGGAGAAAAAAAAAUUGUAAGAGGAAGAAGAGAGGGUAGGCAAAGAGAAGGAGGAAAACAAAAAGGAAAAGAAGGUACAGAAGUAGAAGCAGCUGCCAACCCCAAUCUCUGAUCCUCCAGCUAGCUUUCCCUCUGCUAAAACAAAAGCAAAGAAAAUGUAUUCAUGAUGGCAGGGCUAAAUGAUAAAGGAGGGCCCCCCUUCCCCACCACCUUCUUAUUUGUUAUGCAAUAAAUUAAUUGUUUAGGGUUUGUUACUGCAGUAUGGCCUAACCCUAACCUAAUAUGACACUCAACCUGGUUUAGCCACAUUUGCCACAUCCCAGCUAAUGACAACUCCAUCCCUUGAAAUAUUAAAAUAAAAGACUCAAUGCUAUUUCCACCUCCUCUUUUUCUUUAACAUCCAACAUCCAAUCCAUCAGAGAAUCUUACGGUUCCACCUUCAGAAGACAUCCAGAAUCUAACUUUGACAGUCAUCUUCCAAGUGAUCAUCAUCUGUCACUUGGAUUAUUGCAAUAGUCUAAAAAUUAUUCUCCCUGCUUCCUUACUCAUUCUCCUAUAGUCUAAUCUCAACCCAGGAAUCAUAGUGAUUCUCUUGAAAUGUAUGUCAGAAUUUCUGUAAAGUGAUUAUAUCAGCAGUGUAGUUGUUUUAAGUGUCCCAAACUUCUCUUGAAAAUCAAAUAGAGAAGCUAGUAUAGCUAAGACGAUGGGAACAACAGCCCCAAGAGUGUGGGUACAUCUUGGGGACGAAGCAGCUACAGCAGCAGGACAUGCACGAUCAACAGUUGUGGUGAGAGAGCAUGAAGUGAAAGACAGCUAAAUAGCUUAAAAGUCAUAAAAACCAAAAAGUCAGUAAUAAAUGAACAUGACCCCCGCUGCCCCUGCCUCAAAAAAAAAAAAAAAAAAAAAGAUUUUGCCCUGAGAGGAAAUCUGGGAAGAAAAAAAUGUCUAAGAACAAUUCGUGAUAAUGGAAAAAGUCCUCACAGCCUCAGAGCUGCAGAUCAGUGCCAAAAUUACACAGAUAUUGGGGAAACUAACAUGGGUAUGGUGGUUCUGGCCUUCAAUAAAAUCUCACAUACUUCCCUCUAGUAGGACAAUGCCUCAUCCCAUUGGAAAUAGCAAAACUGAAAAAGGAAGGAACCAUGAGAAAUGAGAGAGAGAGAAUGAGAGAAUGUUUGACAAGCUCAGAGAAAGGAAGUCUCAGGAAGUACUUUAAGAGCAAAUGCUUUUUAGCUACUCUUGCCACCAAAAAAAAGUUGCUAUGUGAGAUGAUGGAUAUGUUAAUUUGCUUCACUAUAGUAACCAUUUUACUAUCUACAUAACAUCAUGCUGUAAUCUUCAAAUACACACAAUCCAAUUUUUUAAAAAAAGAAUUCAGAACAUACAGGAAAAUAUUUAUCAUUAUUAACGGAUAAAUAAAAAUAGAGCAAAAAGAGUAAAUGCAAGACCUGAUACUGAGAGCACAGCCAUGGAGGACAAGACAGUGGACCUCACAGAUGAAUGGCAGGGAAGCCUUUCUUUUUUUUUUUUUUUCUUUUGAGACAGAGCCUCACGCUGUUGCCCAGGCUGGAGUGCAGCAAUGGCGCGAUCUCGGCUCACUGCAACCUCCACCUCCCAGGUUCAAGCAAUUCUCCUGCCUCAGCCUCCCGAGUAGCUGGGAUUACAGUCGCCGGUCACUACACCCAGCUAAUUUUUUGUAUUUUUAGUAGAGACAGGGUUUCACCAUGUUGGCCAGGCUGGUCUCGAACCCCUGACCUCAUGAUUGGCCCACCUCGGCCUCCCAAAGUGCUGGGAUUACAGGCAUGAACCACCACACCCAGCCAAGGAAAGCUUUCUUAACCAGAUAUGGCUUAGAGAAACAAAGUGACUCAUAGAGAGAGGACAUAUUUUUAACCUUUCCUGGUAAAAACAGAGAAAAAAUUCUUAAACUGUGCUACAGAGAAAGCUACCUUGUCUUGUCUUUCUCCUAUUAACCCAGAAAGUUCCAUCUUAUUUUGUUCCUCGUUCAAACAUCAUGGACAAAAAAAAAAAAAAAAAAAAACAACUUUCUAGCACCAUACCAAAUUAUUACAAUAAAAAGUUGAAUGAGGUCUUAAUAAAAUUAAGACAGAGAGAAUUCGUCAGAAAAAUGAGGUCAUGGAACAGAUGAAAACUGUAAUAUUUAAGUAUUAGAGAAGAAUGAAAGCUUUGACAAAAACAGCACCAACAAGCAAUAGAAAAAGCUCAGAACAAGUGAAUAAUCAGUAAAAAAUUAAGAAAAAAAUAAUUUCACAAAAGAGGACUAAAUUAGAAAAACACAAAAGCAAAAUGACACCAUAAAAGGUAGAGUAAAGUAAAUAAGAACAAAGAAGGAAGAAAAUUGAGGGGAAAUGAAACAAAUUUUUUAAUGAUUCAAAAAAAAGGAUUUGAGAAAUAUUUGCCUGAUAGGCAGAAUAAUGGCCCCACAAAGAUGUCUACAUCCUAAACCCUGAGGCCUAUGAGAGUUGCCCUGCAUGGCAAAAGGACAUUAGAGAUGUGGUUAAACUGAGGAUGUCCAGAUGAAGUGAUUAUUCUUGAUUAUCCAGGUGGGUGCAAUAUCAUUACCAGGGUACAUAGAGGCAGCAGGUUUAGAGUCAGAGGAGAGGUGACAAUGGAAGGAGAGGUUCUAGGGAUCUAGGCCCGUGAGUCAGGUCAUACAGACAGCUUCUAGAGACUGGAAAAGGCAUGAAACUGAUUCUCCUCUGGAGCCUGCAGAAGGAACACAGCUCUGCCCACCCAUUUUAGAUUUCUGACUUCCAGAACUAUAAGAAAAUAAAUUUGUGUUGUUUUAAGCCACUAAGCUUGUGAUAAUUUGCUACAAAUAUCAGCAAUAGGAAAUGAAUGCAAUGUGAUAGACAUACAAUAUAGGAAACCUAAGGGCUAACAUACAUAAAAUUGAUGUCUUCAAAGAAGAAAAUAAAAAUAAUGAAAAAGAAGAAAUAUUUAAAAUUAUAAUUGAAAAAUAUUUUCUGAAAUAAAAUAUUAAAAAGCAUAGCAUACUGUGUGUCAGAUUUUGGGGUCUGGGUCCAGCCUAUGCUGAAGUCCGAGGGGAGUGGGUGGAUGAGCAGAAAGA
rnacentral:lncRNA from 10 species